ensembl:lncRNA
UUUGAAAAUACCAUCUUGUCAGUCCCUAUUUUUCUGUACAUUUCAGGUUCAAUAACUUCAUAAAAGGGUGAUUACACUGCAUUUUGGACAGAAGGAAGAAAUGCUUCAAAGGUCACUUGAGGUUGAGUGAGUAUAUGUGCAUUUCCCCUUGGUGUUCCCCACGGGAUCGCUACACAAAUAUCGAACUUCACAAGAUUUUCUAGGUUUCUGGGUCUCGAAACAAACUAAACCUUCAGCACUCAAUGGAAGGUCACGUUUCAAGGAAUGGCCUUCAUGUUCUCUAAGGUUUCUCAAGGAUCUUGUACAAUGUAAUUUGUAUUCCAUUCAGCUCUCACUCCCUAAUUUGUGCCGUUGUGUGUGCAGGUCAGUCACCUUUGCCAAACCACACAAUGAAGCCUCAGGUCAAGAAGGUUUUAGUCUAUGGGACACUCAGGGUAACCAAAUCACGGCCUGAAUGUCAACGUUAAACCUCAAGAGGAAAGACACCUUACGAAGGAGGUUAAACGUUUGAGGUGACGUCAAUUGUGAGUUUGGACGAUACGUUUCACAGCUAUUCAUACUGUAUGAGACAGAAAAUAAGGUAUAUUAAAAUGGUUAACUCUGUAACUAUGGCUGUUCUUGCCAAGGACAAUAACUGUAAAGUUGUAAUAAUCAUUCUAAAUGUUUAAGAAUAAGGAAGUCCACACCACAACUUUAAAUAACUACAUAAAGGAACUAUUUUAUUGGAAUCACUUGCAGAUGAAUGAUAAAACAUUAACUGCCAAUCAGAAUCCACCUGACUUUAAAGAGCUUGAACGUUUAAAGUAACAGAUGACAAAACUGCAGCACGCUUAUAACAAAUAGAACGUUAUUGUGCAUUAGUGUGGACGCUAAUAUGAUUGCAGUCAUCGUUCUUGGUAUGAAUGGGCCUCGACCAUAUCGUAAUUGUAGUUAGAAGCUCAUUUUUCAACAUAGACAGUAGUCUUAUUUGUUAAGAUUACUAGUAAACAAACACAUGGGUGGCCAUGAACUUGCAAAUUUAGGAUUAAAGCA